rnacentral:rRNA from 1 species
UACGUAGGCAGCGAGCGUUGUUCGGAGUUACUGGGCGUAAAGAGUGCGUAGGCGGUUUUCUAAGUUUGGUGUGAAAUCUCCCGGCUUAACUGGGAGGGUGCGCCGAAGACUGGAAGGCUUGAGUAUGGGAGAGGUAAGCGGAAUUCCUGGUGUAGCGGUGAAAUGCGUAGAGAUCGGGAGGAACACCAGUGGCGAAGGCGGCCUUCUGGGCCUUUCCUGACGCUGAGGCGCGAAAGCGUGGGGAGCGAACCGG